GACGAACGCUGGCGGCGUGCUUAACACAUGCAAGUCGAACGGAAAGGCCCUGCUUUUGUGGGGUGCUCGAGUGGCGAACGGGUGUGUCACACGUGAGUAACCUGCCCUUGCCUUUGGGAUAACUUCAGGAAACUGGGGAUAAUACCGGAUAGGAGCUCCUGCUGCAUGUUGGGGGAUGGAAAGUUUCGGCGGUUGGGGAUGGACUCGCGGCUUAUCAGCUUGUUGGUGGGGUAGUGGCUUACCAAGGCUUUGACGGGUAGCCGGCCUGAGAGGGUGACCGGCCACCUUGGGACUGAGAUACCGCCCAUACUCCUUCGGGAGGCAGCAGGGGGGAAUAUUGCACAAUGGGCGGAAGCCUGAUGUAGAAACGCUGCGUGCGGGAGAACGAGUUUCUGGUUGUAAACCGCGUUUUCCGGUGACGAAGAGUGAGUGACGGUAAUGAGUAAAGAAGCACCGGCUAACUACGUG
rnacentral:rRNA from 1 species